rnacentral:tRNA from 1 species
CGGGAUGUAGCGCAGUCCGGUAGCGCACCUGGUUUGGGACCAGGGGGACCCAGGUUCGAAUCCUGGUAUCCCGA